rnacentral:rRNA from 1 species
CCCUUAGAUGUUCUGGGCCGCACGCGCGCUACACUGAUGAACGCAACGAGACGACCUGUACCGAAAGGCAUGGGUAAACCUGUGAAAGUUCAUCGUGAUGGGGAUAGAUUAUUGCAAUUAUUAAUCUUCAACGAGGAAUUCCUAGUAAGCGCGAGUCAUCAGCUCGCGUUGAUUACGUCCCUGCCCUUUGUACACACCGCCCGUCGCUCCUACCGAUUGAAUGGUCCGGUGAAAUCUUCGGAUUGCUGGAUAGGAGGGCAACCACCUAUCUGCGAGAAGUUGCUUGAACCUUAUCAUUUAGAGGAAGGAGAAGUCGUAACA